CAAGACAAAAACAAAUUCUUGAUUCUCAAUUACAAAAGUAGAACUCUUAAUUAUAAAAUUUCUUCAACUUGCACAUAUAUAUAAGCAUGGUUGCUAGUAAUAACUUCAGCUUGCAUAUAUAAACAUUAGAUUUUGUACAAAUCCAAAAAAAUGGUUCAAACAAGAAUUGAAAUUAAGGCUCUUUUAUUAUUGAUGGUUCUUCUAAUUUCCUCACAAGUUGCAGAUGCUCGAGUUUCAUAUAAAGAAGGUGAGAAGAUGAUGAGAAGCUAUGCACGUUAUCGGUGCCCCCAUGGAUGUUGUAAUAUUGGUGCUGUUGCGGAUGCUGAUUCCGGUGCUCCUCGUACAGCCGUAGCAGCCGGGCCUCCCCCAUAUUGUCGCUGCUGCCUGUAACCCAACAAUAGCCCUAGAUGAGUUAUGUAAAAUUAAGGUGUUAAAAUAAAUAACUCCAUAAAGGAAAGGAAAGGAAAGUAAAGUUUCAAUUUACUUGAAAUUAAUGAGCUGUUGUCUGAUUUUGA